UGAGGAUUUGAUCCUGGUCCAGGAUGAACGCUAGCGGUGUGCUUUAAGCAUGCAAGUGGGACGAGUUGUAGCAAUACAACUAGUCGCGAACGGCUGAGUAUAAAAUAGGAAUCUACCCAAUGGUGUGGAAUACCUUAUCGAAAGAUGAGCUAAUACCACAUGACCUCGCAAGAGAAAAGGACUUAACUGUCCGCCGAUGGAUGAGCCUAUUUCCCAUCAGUUUGUUGGUAGGGUAAUGGCCUACCAAGACUAUGACGGGUAGGGGAUUUGAGAGGAUGACCCCCCAGAACAGGACUGAGACACGGCCUGUACACCUACGGGUGGCAGCAACUGGGAAUCGUGCGCAAUGGACGAAAGUCUGACGCCGCGACACCGCGUGAAGGAUGAAGGCCUUUUGGUCGUAAACUUCUUUUGCCAUAUGGGUGACCAUAUGGAGAAUAAGCACCUGCUAACUCUGUGGAUUUUUAAAAAUUGGUGCAGAGUACUGAUAGUAAUAUCGGUAGAGAAAACUUCGCUAUAUGCUGGAACAUUUUGUAAACAGAUAGAUACUAACAUUAUCAAAGGAUGAUGACAGUGAAAAUUUUAUCUGAAACCCUAAAAAACAAGCGGUUUGUAUGUGGGUUACAAAACUAUCAGCAGGUAACCUUUUUGAGAAAUCAAAAUGGGCACCUCAGAGACUACACGCGAAGCUCCGUUAGAUAUAUAAUUAUCUAAUCGGAUGAUGAUAUAGUCCACGCUAUUUAUGUCAGAUAUAAAUCAAAUAAUAGUUGGAUCGAUAUUGGGAGAUGGAAGUUUAUCACCUUUAACUAAAAGGAAUAAAUAUUCAACUCUAGAUAUUUCUCAACAUGAGAGUAAAUUGCCUUAUUUAAGGUGGUUAUAUGAUCAACUAACAAAGAAAUUUGAAUUAAAUCCGAUAUAUCAGAAAAAAGGUUUUGAGAAUCAAUAUAGGUUUAGAAGUAAGCCAAAUAAGACUCUUGGAAUUUUUAGGUCUAAAUUUUAUGACAAUUUAACAGGUUGUAAAAUUAUUCCAAAAGAUAUAGGAGAUUUACUAAAAAACCCAAUUUCUUUGGCAGUUUGGUAUAUGGAUGACGGAACUUUAGAUAAAAGAUAUAAGUAUCAUUUAAAUUCUUCAAUCGCAACAAAUUGUUUCUCAUUUGAGGAAUGCAGUUUGUUGAGUGAGGUUUUAAAUGAUAAUUUUAAACUUAAAACGUCUGUUAAUAAGACUACAAUGAGGGGUAAGAUUUACCCCAGAAUUUAUUUUAAGUCUGAAUGUAUGAAUGAUUUUAUUAAGAUCAUCAAGCCUUAUAUUAAUUCAGUUUUUAAUUACAAAAUUGGAAUUGAAUAAUCUAAACUAUAGAGUAGCCAGCAGCCGCGGUAAUACAGAGGGUGCAAGCGUUAUCCGGAUUUAUUGGGCGUAGAGCGUUUCGUAGGCGGUUUGGUAAGUUAGACUUCAAAGACCACGGCUCAACCGGGGGAAGGGGUCUAAUACUGCCAGACUUGAGGGUUUUAGGGGCAAUCGGAACUGUUGGUGUAGGGGUGAAAUCCGUUGAUAUCAACAGGAACGUCAAGGGCGUAGGCAGAUUGCUGGGAAACUUCUGACGCUGAGGAACGAAAGCUAGGGGAGCGAAAGGGAUGGGGUUUAUAAACUCUAGUUCCUCCGUUAAGUAAUUAACGGUUUAAAAAUUCGACUAUAUGCUGGAAUAACUGUGUAUCUUAGACUAGUAUUGACUUUGGUUUUAAUUCGGAUAAUACUGAAUUAAUGCCCAAAUUAAAUACUGAAAAUGUUUUAAGUGCAGUCAAUCAGCAGGGAAGAUCUCGAAAGAGAAACCCUCAGAGACUAUAUGUCGAAUAUCCUAGUAAGAAUGUAAUAAGUAAUAUAGAAGCAACUUUAUUGGGUAUCUUAUACACUGAUGGUUGUUUAUCUAGAAAGAGUAAGAAUGCUUGGAGAUUUUAUCUAAGUAAUACUUCUUACGAGAUUAUACAAAUAUUUAAAAAUUGUAUGAUUAAACUUUUUGGAUUAAACACUAAAAGAAUAAGAAUAUCUAAAUAUGUUGUUAAUGGUAAGCCUUUUUAUAAAGCAAUUGUAGAUAGUGCAUCAUCUGGAGAAUUUUUAAAUUCAAAAUAUGGUACAUUUCGAACUCUUGCUUAUAAAAGUGUAGAUGGUAAAGUAAUUUAUCCUUCUACAAAAUUACCGUUUAACAAAAAUUCUAAUCGCAAAAUAAUUUGCAAGUUUUUAAAAACUGCAUUUAGUUGUGAUGGAGGUAUAAAUUUAUAUGUAGCAAAAUCAAAGUUUGGUUACAAAUUUUUGAUUAGAAAUGCAUAUUUAGCUUGCAAACAUCCACAAUUACAGAUUGAUUAUCAUAAACUUUUAAAAGUUCUUGGUAUUAAAUCUAAAAUUUUUGAAAAAGAUGGAAAAAUACUUAUUCAAGGAAGAAAUGAAUUGAAUAAAUUUAGUAAAAAAGUUGGUUUUCUAAAAAGAGUCAAGAUAACACAAAAUUCUAAAUUUUGGCAAGGUGCUGAAAAAGAAAAAGUGUUAAAUCUUGCAUUAAAUUCUUACAAUAAUCCGAGAAAGAUUAUAAAUCUUUCAAAGUUUAAAGGAUAAAGAUAUAGUCCGACCUCAUAAGCGAUUAUGAGACUACGUGUUGAAUCGUAGUAAACAAACUAUUUAUAGUUUGUUAUAACAAAUUUGUAGAGACCCCUGUAGUCCUAGCCGUAAACUUUGCCUGCUAGCGAUCCGACUUUGGUCGGGUUGCGUAAGCUAACGCGUUAAGCGGGCCGCCUGGGGAGUACGAACGCAAGUUUAAAACUCAAAGGAAUUGACGGGAAGGCGCACAACCAGUGGAGCAUGUGGUUUAAUUCGAAACGAAACGAAGAACCUUACCCAGUCUUGACAUAUUACCGUUUUAGAUUGCCAGAAAUGGCGAUCGAUCCUUAAGUAAUUUUGGAUGGUAUUACAGGUGUUGCAUGGCCGUCGUCAGCUCGUGUCGUAGGUUAACACUUUGCGACCCUUCGAAGCAAUUCGGAGUGCGAAAUCUGGCUCAUAUCGGUGGAACUUCUUAUUUUUAAUAAGAACAAUACCGAGGGAAGUCGACUUAAAUUUUAAGUUUGACCCCGUAACGACUGAUUUUGGUAUUUUUAAAUAUCAAAUGAUAUACAAGAUAAUACGCUUGUAUAACACGCCAGCUCCCGAUUUAAUCGGGAUGAAGGUAUAGUCUAAUUACAGUUACCUUUUAAAGUAAUUGGAGGUGUUCCCUUCAGUGGGGUAACGAGCGCAACCCCUGCCCUGAGUUAAAUAAUCUCAGGGGACUUCCCUCAUUUAUUGCGGGAGGAAGUGGGGACGACGUCAGGUCAGCAUGGCCCUUAUGACUGGGGCAACACACAUACUACAAUGGAGCCGACAAUGGGUUGCCAAGCCGCAAGGCGGAGCUAAUCCCAUCAAACGGCUUCUCAGUUGGGAUUGAGGGCUGCAACUCGCCCUCAUGAACAUGGAAUUGGUAGUAAUCGCGGGUCAGCUAUACCGCGGUGAAUACGUUCUCGCCUUUUGUACACACCGCCCGUCAAGGCAGUAAAGUUAAAGGUACCCGAACUUCGAUUUUGUCGGAGGAAGGUAAAUUUAGCGAUAAGGCUUAAGUCGUUGGUUAAGUUAACGUUGCGACUUUAGAGAGUGAUCUCUAAAAAAAAUCUUGCUGUAUCGGUGAAACCUAAAGUAGUAAAAUACAAUGGUAAUACCGAGGGAACCCCAAAUUCUUUGGGGACUCCGUAGAGACUACACGCGAGCACUAUGAUAACAAAAUCGUACUUGUUAGGAAUGUUGCACGAUGCAACUGAAAGAAAAAAUACUUAUCGAAUUGCGACUAAGAAUUUUAAUUUUGCAAAAGUUAUCCGAGAGGGUAUCAUAAAAUUAAAUUCUAAGGUUUGGAUUUACAAAGAAGGAAAGAAUCGCAAUCUUUGGAUUGUAGAAUUUUCUAAAUCACUUUUAAAAGAAGUGAAUGUUAAAUCAAAACAAAAUAAAAUCGAUUACAUUCGAGGCUAUUUUGACGCAGAAGGGGGUAUUUCUCAAAGUUCUAAAGUUAGAUUUUAUAUUUAUUUUUGCCAGAAAGACAAAAUUGAUCUGGAGGAAGUAAAAAAUUAUUUAAUAGAAUUGGGAGUCAGUUGUGGAGUAACACAUAAUCCAAGUAAAAAGGUUGAUCCUAAUUAUUGGAGAUUUUUUAUACGAUCGAAAUCGUACAAAUAUUUUGCAAAAAUAAUUAGUUCAGAUCAUCCGGAAAAGAUUAAGUUAUUAGAGAUGAAGAUAUAGUCCAUACCACACGAAAGUCGUGGAAUUUAUAUGAACAAGGUAUCCCUACUGGAAGGUGGGGAUGGAUCACCUCCUU
rnacentral:rRNA from 3 species